rnacentral:rRNA from 1 species
UACAGAGGGUGCAAGCGUUAAUCGGAUUUACUGGGCGUAAAGCGUGAGUAGGUGGCUCGCUAAGUCGCUUGUGAAAGCCCUGGGCUCAACCUGGGAAUUGCAGUCGAUACUGGAGAGCUAGAGUUCGGUAGAGGGUGACGGAAUUCCCGGUGUAGCGGUGAAAUGCGUAGAUAUCGGGAGGAACAUCGAUGGCGAAGGCAAUCAUCUGGGCCUGAACUGACACUGAGACACGAAAGCGUGGGUAGCAAACAGG